rnacentral:rRNA from 1 species
CCUACGGGAGGCAGCAGUGAGGAAUAUUGGUCAAUGGGCGCGAGCCUGAACCAGCCAAGUCGCGUGAGGGAUGACGGCCCUACGGGUUGUAAACCUCUUUUGUCGGGGAGCAAAUUCCGUUACGUGUAACGGAGUCGAGAGUACCCGAAGAAUAAGCACCGGCUAACUACGUGCCAGCAGCCGCGGUAAUACGUAGGGUGCGAGCGUUAAUCGGAAUUACUGGGCGUAAAGGGUGUGCAGGCGGUUUUGCAAGAUGGAUGUGAAAGCCCCGGGCU